rnacentral:lncRNA from 1 species
UUGUAUCUCACGCAAUUCAUGCACAUGUCGACCACCAGAUCAUACAUCCAAUGAAGUUAAUGUUUGUAUAUUUACUGGCUAGUAUUUGCAAUGAGCGUGGUUAACUUUUUUGGUUUUUUUUUUUCUUUUUAUAUCAUUAGUUAUUAAAUAUAUUUAUUUUUAUUGAUUUCGUUCAUAAAUAAAAGAAGUUUAAGAUUAAAAGGAUUACUUUGGAAAUAAAAUAGUGCAAUCUAUUUAUCGAAGAAAAAAU